GAUUAGGGCUUGUGGUGGCGGGGUCCCUGCCCUGGGAGAAGGGGCUGCGCUGAAGUGUGCCUUGGUUCCUGCUUCCUACCCUCCAAUGACCUCUUCUCCUGGGUCAUCGAGAACCAGGACUUCAUCUUGGAGUGCCCGGUAGCAGCAAGGGGCAAACACCCCCACCCUUAUGUACCAUUCCAUCCUCCUCCUCCCCCCACCUCCACUCUACUGACCCUAGCAUCUACCUCAAAGUGCUCAAGGCCAGGAAGUGGGGGAGACCUCAGAAGCGCAAGCAGGAAUCCCAGUUAUAUGGUUCGGUAGAAUGGGAGUCCUGCCCGUGGGAGGGCCCACCUGAAGUUCACGUAGCAGAAGAAGCCUACAGUCUGGAGUAGGAGGAAGAACAGGAAGAUGCUGGUGUGCAGACAUGUGGAGGAUCCUAGAAGCCAGCCAGAUGGGCGAGGGGCCUUGGCUGUCUUCUUCUGAAAGGGAAGUAUGAGACCCUGCCUCAGCUUCUAACCCAGGGGAGGGGAGGGGACUUGGAAUCUAUGCCUUGCAUGGUCCCUAUUUAUCUCCCUCAGGCUUGAGCCAUCUUGGCUGUCAUCUAGGGAACAUGGAUAAAGGGCAGUGUCCAAAGCUGCAUCUUCCAGUCUCACGUGGAUCCAUUUGUGGGAAUAGUUCAUAAGAUGUAGGUCCUUAAGUCAACAACAGACUAAAAGCUUAAGAGACAAGAGUGGGGGCUGGAGAGAUGGCUCAGUGGGUAAGAGAACUGACUGCUCUUCUGAAGGUCCUGAGUUCAAAUCCCAGCAACCACAUGGUGGCUCACAACCAUCCGUGAUGAGAUCUGAUGCCCUCUUCUGGUGUGUCUGAAGACAGCUACAGUGUACUUAUUUAUAAUAAAUAAAUAAAUCUAAAAAGAGAGAGAGAGAGAGAGAGAGAGAGAGACGAGACGAGAGGGAAGGAGAAGUGGAUGCUGAAAGUGAGGGCGAGGGAAAGAGCAAGGAAGGACAGGGACCCAGGAAACACUGGUGCCACCACUGAAUUUGAGUGUCCCUUGGCAUGGUCUACCCCACUUGCUUUCUGGUCAUCGAGGUGGGUUGACCAAGGGGUCUCUGGGUAGUGCUGAGUGGUGGGCCUUCCUCCUGAGCAAGAGAGUGCAUAGAUGAGAUCUGUGUCCCUUCACACCCAUGUACGGGCACACAUAGGUGCCUGUCAGGCACAGAUGCAUCGGAGCUGCAGGAGUGUUGGGAGAAGAGCAGGAGAGACCAGAUCUCAAGGAUGAGCCCCUUGUACUACCCACUACUUCUUACCACCAGACCCCGGAGGUCCUUCUGCAGGAGGCUGAGGAUAUGGUCCAGUUCAAAAAAGUGAUGCUUAGUGCCCACAGGCAGGUAGAAGACGUGUGCUCCUGAAGCCAUCCGGGCAGCUGCUUCCCUGGUGGUGCGAUGAUCCAUUACUCUUUUUGAUUGUACCCAAAUUACUUAAUCUUUCUCUAUAAUCCCCGAUGCUCAGUACAUGGUAAAGAAUAAGUAUCAUCCAUAGAGUCCUGCCUUGGGAGUUGGUGUUUUUACUCUAAAACUUCUCCCCAGAAUCUGAGACAACUUUAGCUUAUAAAAAGAAGUCUCUAUAAGUGUCUGUCUGUGUUCCGGGCUCCCUGGACUCUGCCUUUCAUCUCUAUCCCGGAGGAAUUAACAUGCCAUGCACCAGGAUGGAGGAUGUACACCCACAGAACCCAAAAUGAGCAUGGGGUCUCCCCUCCCCCAGAGCUCCAUGGGGCACUUCACAGGCAUGGGUGUGCCAGAGUGAGAUUCAGGAACACUGGAGGCAAAAUGAACUCAGACCACUUCCUCCAAAGAGCCUCAUCUUGGCUGUGGGCUUCUUCCAAGAACCUCUAUCAAAAUAUAUGCCCUCGGGGGCUGGGGUGAUGUUUCAGUGGGUGAGAAUGCUUGCUUUGCAAGCACAAGAACCCAAGUUUAUAUUCCCACUACACACAUAAAAAGCCAGGUAUGGCUGUACGUGUCUGUAGCCCCAGCAUUGGAGGCAGAAAUUUCUGAUAGAGACAGGAUGAUAAUGGAUAUUUUCUUCCCUCUCUCAAUAACCCUCCUCAUCUCUUACCUCAUCUCUUGCAGGGCCUGGAUCAGGGUCCGCUGUCCAUAGAGCAGGGUGCUGACCUUGGCAGUGUUCUAUGGGAGGGCCAGCUCUUAUCUAGUAUUCAGAGGACAGUGGCCCUCUCCUCAGAGUCACCUUUACCAUAGAUACCUCAUUCUUCUUCCAGAAACCUUAUUAAAUAGCCAUGGCGCCCUUCUUUUUGGACACACUGAAUCCCCCUGGCACUUGUCCAUCUGGGCUUACAGAAGACCCUCCUUCUGCAACAAAGCUGAGAUGUUUCCCCCCAAAGGGCCCUCGAGGCUUUCCACAAAUCCUUCUCCUUUUAAAACAUGUCCCUGUCUCCUUAGGGAGGCAGAAGCCCAACCCAAUCCUCUCUGUGCCUUUCUCCUAGGCUGUGGGCCAGCACUAGUUAAAAUCCAGUACAUGGGUCCAAGUCUGGCAGAAGGACCUGGAGAGGUAGCUGACAUUUCUGAGGUAGGUGACCCGAGCUCGGAAGGGGAAUGGCCGGUUCCUGAAGUCCCUGUGACAGGAGCCAAGCUCCCGGACAUUUCCAUCCCUGUGGACAAUUGGAAUGCAGCCAGCCACAUGGGACCAAAGGACUAGUCCAUGGGAGACAGUCUCAAGAGCAACUCUGUCCAAGCCUGCAGUGUCACUGUCCCCAUAGGGUGACCUGGCUUGGGGAAGGGAAGGAGACAGAGAUGUUGCUCCACACGGCACCGCUCCGGUUCUUCAUGGAUGGAACCAGCCGCACUUCCUCUAAGCCUAGGAUGGCGUCUGUGGAGCAGGGCAGCAGAGGACGACUGGACUCUAUUCUACAUCUCUAUCUCAUUGUCAAAAGUCAAGCCCUGGGAAAAAGCUCACACCAAGACUUUGUUAUUUGACAUGUGGCUGGCUGCUGAUAUUGAAGAGUCCACUGGGGAAAUGGGACCAGAACCCAGCUGAGUGAUACCCAGGAAAGGCAGCAAGAGACAGUAAUUUACUGUGUUCCAAUUGGGCCUCACUGAACGUCUGUGCCAUCCAUUUUUAUAAGAUACCAUUUUAUGGGACAUGGGAUGGAGUUCACCUGGUAGACUACUUGCCUAGUACACACAUAGCUCUGGGCUUCAUCCCCAGUACCCCAUAAAACCGAGUGUGGUGGUACACACCUGCAAUCCUAGCUCUCAGGAGCUGGAGGCAGGAGGAUCAGUAAUUCAAGGCCAUCCUUGGCUAUGUAGUUAGCUUGAGGCCAUCCUUGGCUACAUCAGACUGUGCUGGGGCUGGGGGAUGGCUCAGUGGGUAAAGAGCUUGCAGCGUAAAAAUGAGGACCUGAGUUCAGAUCCCAGCAUCUACAUAAAAGCUGGGCAUGAGAUGGGUGGUGAUGGUGCAUGCCUUUAAUCCCAGCACUCAGGAGGCAGAGGCAGGGUGGAUCUUGGUGAGUUGGAGGCUAGCCUGGUCUGCAGAUUGAGUUCUAGGAGCUGGGCAUGGCAGUGCAAGCCAGGCUUGUAACCCCAGACCCAGGGGAAAGAGACAGAUGCAUCCUGGGGGCUUGCUGGACAGCCAGUCCAGCUGGAAUAGUGAGCUCUGGGUUCUGUGAGUGACCUUGUCUUUUGUCUUUCUUUCUCCUUCCUUCCUCCCUCCCUCCCUCCCUCCCUCCCUCCCUCUCUCCUUCUCUCUCUUCCUUCCUUUUGCACUGGCUGAUCUUCCAGAGGACCUGAUUCCCAAUAUCCACAUGACUGCUCACAACUGUCUGUAAUUCUGGUUCCAGGGGAUCUGAUACUCUCAUACAGACAAAACACCAAUGCACAAAAAAUAAAUAAAUAAAUAAAUAAAUAAAUAAAUAAAUAAAUCAUUUUUUAAAAAAAGGU